GAUGAACGCUGGCGGCGUGCCUAAUACAUGCAAGUCGAGCGAACAGAUGAGGAGCUUGCUCCUCUGACGUUAGCGGCGGGCGGGUGAGUAACACGUGGAUAACCUACCUAUAAGACUGGGAUAACUUCGGGAAACCGGAGCUAAUACCGGAUAAUAUAUUGAACCGCAUGGUUCAAUAGUGAAAGACGGUUUUGCUGUCACUUAUAGAUGGAUCCGCGCCGCAUUAGCUAGUUGGUAAGGUAGCGGCUUACCAAGGCAACGAUGCGUAGCCGACCUGAGAGGGUGAUCGGCCACACUGGAACUGAGACACGGUCCAGACUCCUACGGGAGGCAGCAGUAGGGAAUCUUCCGCAAUGGGCGAAAGCCUGACGGAGCAACGCCGCGUGAGUGAUGAAGGUCUUCGGAUCGUAAAACUCUGUUAUUAGGGAAGAACAAAUGUGUAAGUAACUAUGCACGUCUUGACGGUACCUAAUCAGAAAGCCACGGCUAACUACGUG
rnacentral:rRNA from 1 species